rnacentral:rRNA from 1 species
CACGUAGGCGGAUAUUUAAGUCAGGGGUGAAAUCCCAGAGCUCAACUCUGGAACUGCCUUUGAUACUGGGUAUCUUGAGUAUGGAAGAGGUAAGUGGAAUUCCGAAGUGUAGAGGUGAAAUUCGUAGAUAUUCGGAGGAACACCAGUGGCGAAGGCGGCUUACUGGUCCAUUACUGACGCUGAGGUGCGAAAGCGUGGGGAGCAAACA